GGCUCGGUGGUGGAUGUCCACACCUACAUCCUAUGAAUGAGAAGCCCUAAAGUCAUGUAGGAGUCGUCUGUUCGAAUCAGGCCCGAGCCA